rnacentral:lncRNA from 1 species
UAAAUUUCUACCAGGCAGGAAACAGCUAGAAACAAGGUUGAGUGUUCAGUCUGCCUUCCUGCAGGAAAGGUGAUUCCCUGGAUAAUUUCACAUUAGGCUUUAAGAGCUCCUUUCCUGUGGCAUUGUGGGGGUGGAAAAAGAAGCCAGUCUUUUAUCUUUAUGGAAAUCUCACUGUUCGGAUACAAAAGUCUGUAAUAGAGAAUCGUUCCGCCUCUUAAAGGAGAUCUGUGGGGAAAGACCUGGCUGGACAGCCUUUUACAUAGCCCCAGUGAAAACAAUGCAGGAAUCUGAAAAGGUCAUUAGGAAAAUAAAAACUUAAAGUCCUGAAAAGCUUUCUGACAAUUGUCCAAGGCCAUGCAGUCCUGAGGACACAGAGGACACCAGCCAUCCCUCAGCCACGACCCACGAGCCAACCCAAUCAGACCACAACAUCUUGUCUUUCAGGAAAAUGUACUGAAUUUUGUACCAUGACCCCGAAAGCCUGGAUCAAAUUAAGAGUUUUAAUUCUCAAAGUCAUUUAUAUUGUGUCCCUAAAGCAUAUACAAUAAAUGUACGCAUCACUCAGGAUAUAUUAAAA